CAUUCUUAUAAAGAAUUGACAAUUAAACCAGAAACUCGCUAACGUUGUGACCACAUGUAUUUUAAGUUAGUCAUACCACGGCUAAAAUAUGUCAAAGACACACCGUGCUGUCAACAUUUUAACAUUAUUUGACUGAAUCCUAAGAGUCAACUAGUAGUUUUCAGACCUAGCUAUCAACACCUGUAGCUAGCAGCGCAAGCUAGCCUGUGUUUUAGAUGUUGUUGUUUUUUUAACCUACAGUGGGCGUAAGAAUAUGCAGUUGUACUUAAUGAGAAAGUAGAACCACGGCCAAGUGGUUUGUCCGCAUUAGCCUCUACGGCGUUCAAAAGACUUUUUGUUGUUGUUGGAACUAAGACGCUUUAAAUGAUGCCACGUAAUUCAACUCUUCUUCAGCAAAGAAGCUCAAGGAUUGUCCACCACCAAUCUACGCAUUCUGGAAGCUGUUUGUUCUUCACACUUUCAUGCAUCAAAGUCAUCGUAGGAAGCGUGUGCCGGCGGGGUCGCCACCGUUUAGGCCACGGAUCGCCGCAAACAAUGAAGUCCUCAUCCUUCUUUAAGCACAUCCUGUUUGGACGAGGGGGGGCACGUGGACUCUGACCCCGGCGAGCUCUCUGGGCUCUCGUCAGGAACCCGACGGCAACAGUUGACAUUUCUGUCUCAUCCCCCG